AAUAGGAAUAGUUACUGAACACAAACUCUUUGAACUCUUCGAACAUGAUCCUUUAAACAUUUUUUAAACUUUUUUAUCAUGAUAUAUGACAUAUUUCACCG